CACGUAGGGCGCGAGCGUUGUCCGGAAUUAUUGGGCGUAAAGAGCUCGUAGGCGGCCUGUUGCGUCCGCUGUGAAAGCCCGGGGCUUAACCCCGGGUCGGCAGUGGAUACGGGGCAGGCUAGAGGUAGGUAGGGGAGAAUGGAAUUCCCGGUGUAGCGGUGAAAUGCGCAGAUAUCGGGAGGAACACCGGUGGCGAAGGCGGUUCUCUGGGCCUUCCUGACGCUGAGGAGCGAAAGCGUGGGGAGCGAACAGG
rnacentral:rRNA from 1 species